rnacentral:SRP_RNA from 1 species
GCCAGCACAGUGGUGUGUGCCUAUAGUCCCAGCUACUUGGGAGGCUGAGGUGGGAGGAUCGCUUGAGCCCAGGAGUUCUGGGCUGUAGUGCUCUAUGCCGAUUGGGUGUCUGCGCUAAGUUCGGCAUCAAUAUGGUGACCUCCCGGGAGCGGGGGACCAUCAGGUUGCCUAAGGAGGGGUGAACUGGCCCAAGUUGGAAACAGAGCAGGUCAAAACUCCCGUGCUGAUCAGUAGUGGGAUGGUGCCUGUGAAUAACCACUGCACUCCAGCCUGGGCAACAUAGCAAGACCAUGCCUCA